CGGAUCAGAGCUGGUGAUGAUGAAGAUGAUGGUGAUGAUGAUGAAGGAGGAGGAGGAGCUUUCUAAUUAAAGCGUCAGAUAGCGAGGAGGAGGAGAAAGUGACACUUGAGGCUUCAGCAGCUUCUCUGGACGAGGAGAGCAGCUGAAGGUCAGAGGAGAAGCCCUGAGAGACCUCUCCCCCGAGCAGACUCCCAGCCACGACUCGGCCGAGGACACAGGGACGAGGGGACGGGCGAGAGGAGGACCUGGAAUCAGUCGGUUUGUCGGCUCCUGUGAGAGGAAGUUCAACUGAUGUAGAAGCUGCUCAGAGGUUCAGCAGCACAGUUUGUUCUCAACACGACGAGAAGCUUCAGGAACAGAACGUUUCCGGAAAUCUUCGUUAAUCAUCGACCGACUAACGGAGCGAGACUUCGUCUUCAUCAGCAAAACACAGACGAGAGCGAGCUUCAUCACUCUAACCAGGUUUCAUCUGCUGUCCCUGAAACCACUUCA